rnacentral:rRNA from 1 species
GACGAACGCUGGCGGCGUGCUUAACACAUGCAAGUCGAACGGAAAGGCCCUGCUUUUGUGGGGUGCUCGAGUGGCGAACGGGUGAGUAACACGUGAGUAACCUGCCCUUGACUUUGGGAUAACUUCAGGAAACUGGGGCUAAUACCGGAUAGGAGCUCCUGCUGCAUGGUGGGGGUUGGAAAGUUUCGGCGGUUGGGGAUGGACUCGCGGCUUAUCAGCUUGUUGGUGGGGUAGUGGCUUACCAAGGCUUUGACGGGUAGCCGGCCUGAGAGGGUGACCGGCCACAUUGGGACUGAGAUACGGCCCAGACUCCUACGGGAGGCAGCAGUGGGGAAUAUUGCACAAUGGGCGGAAGCCUGAUGCAGCAACGCCGCGUGCGGGAUGACGGCCUUCGUGUUGUAAACCGCUUUCUCCUGUGACGAAGCGUGAGUGACGGUAAUGGGUAAAGAAGCACCGGCUAACUACGUG